GGAAUCUUGGACAAUGGGGGAAACCCCGAUCCAGCCAUGCCGCGUGAAUGAUGAAGGCCUUAGGGUUGUAAAAUUCUUUCAGCAGGGAAGAUAAUGACGGUACCUGCAGAAGAAGCCCCGGCUAACUCCGUGCCAGCAGCCGCGGUAAUACGGGGGGGGCUAGCGUUGUUCGGAAUUACUGGGCGUAAAGCGCACGUAGGCGGAUUGUUAAGUUAGAGGUGAAAGCCCAGAGCUCAACUCUGGAAUAGCCUUUGAUACUGGCAGUCUAGAGUUCAGGAGAGGUGAGCGGAAUUCCGAGUGUAGAGGUGAAAUUCGUAGAUAUUCGGAGGAACACCAGAGGCGAAGGCGGCUCACUGGACUGAUACUGACGCUGAGGUGCGAAAGCGUGGGGAGCA
rnacentral:rRNA from 1 species